GCAUAUCAAUAAGCGGAGGAAAAGAAACCAACAGGGAUUGCCCUAGUAACGGCGAGUGAAGCGGCAACAGCUCAAAUUUGAAAUCUGGCUACUUUGUAGUCCGAGUUGUAAUUUGUAGAGGAUGCUUUUGGUGAGGUGCCUUCCGAGUUCCCUGGAACGGGACGCCAUAGAGGGUGAGAGCCCCGUACGGUUGGAUGCCAAACCUUUGUAUAGCUCCUUCAACGAGUCGAGUAGUUUGGGAAUGCUGCUCUAAAUGGGAGGUAUAUCUCUUCUAAAGCUAAAUACCGGCUAGAGACCGAUAGCGCACAAGUAGAGUGAUCGAAAGAUGAAAAGCACUUUGAAAAGAGAGUUAAACAGCACGUGAAAUUGUUGAAAGGGAAGCGCCUAUGACCAGACUUGUCUCUAUCAGUUUUGCUAGUUUUCGGACUGGUUUACUCUGUUAGUACAGGCCAGCAUCAGUUUGUUGUUAGGGAGAAAGGCUUAGGGAAUGUGGCUCCCUCGGGAGUGUUAUAGCCCUUUGCAUAAUACCUUUCGGCAGACUGAGGACCGCGCUUCGGCAAGGAUGCUGGCGUAAUGGUCAUCAGCGACCCGUCUUGAAACACGGACCAAGGAGUCAACCUUAUGUGCGAGUGUUUGGGUGUAAAACCCCAGCGCGUAAUGAACGUGAACGUAGGUGAGAGCUUCGGCGCAUCAUCGACCGAUUCUGAUGUUCUCGGAUGGAUUUGAGUAAGAGCACACAGGGUUGGACCCGAAAGAAGGUGAACUAUGCUUGUAUAGGGUGAAGCCAGAGGAAACUCUGGUGGAGGCUCGCAGCGGUUCUGACGUGCAAAUCGAUCGUCAAAUAUGAGCAUGGGGGCGAAAGACUAAUCGAACCUUCUAGUAGCUGGUUCCAGCCGAG
rnacentral:rRNA from 1 species